AGAAUCAACGCUGGCGGCGUGCCUAACACAUGCAAGUCGCACGAGAAAGGGGAGCAAUCCCUGAGUAAAGUGGCGCACGGGUGAGUAACACGUGAAUGAUCUACCUCCGAGUGGGGAAUAAACUGAGAGAAAUCUUAGCUAAUACCGCAUAAUACCCACGGGUCAAAGCAGCAAUGCGCUUGGAGAGGAGUUCGCGGCCGAUUAGCUAGUUGGCGGGGUAAUGGCCCACCAAGGCGAUGAUCGGUAUCCGGCCUGAGAGGGCGCACGGACACACUGGAACUGAAACACGGUCCAGACUCCUACGGGAGGCAGCAGUGGGGAAUUUUGCGCAAUGGGGGAAACCCUGACGCAGCAACGCCGCGUGGAGGAUGAAGCCCCUUGGGGUCGUAAACUCCUUUCGAUCGGGAAGAUAAUGACGGUACCGAUAUAAGAGCCCGGCUAACUUCGUGCCAGCAGCCGC
rnacentral:rRNA from 1 species